AUGCCUGCAACAACUAGACUUCAAGGUGAAAUAGAGCAGUACUUGACCGAUGGUUUAGUGCCUUACGUUGAAAAGUUCAAUGUGUUGGAUUGGUGGAAGGUGGCUGGAACAAGGUAUCCGACCUUAAGGAAAGUAGCAAGAGACAUAUUUGCUAUUCCCGUAACAACAGUUGCUUCAGAGUCAGCCUUUAGUAUAAGUGGCAGAAAGCUUAAUGACCAUAGAAGCCGACUUACACCUCAUAUGGUGGAGGUUUUAAUGUGCUCGCAAGAUUGGCUUCGAAACAAGUACAAAGAUGCUCACACAACAGAAACUAGCUUCUGGACUUGUCUUCAAGACAUUCAAGAAGGGAUGCAGGAAUUGAUGAUUUGA
rnacentral:rRNA from 1 species